rnacentral:tRNA from 1 species
GCGGGCAUGAUGGAAUUGGCAGACAUGUAAGAUUUAGGUUCUUAUGUGCAAUACGCACGUUGGGGUUCAAGUCCCCAUGCCCGCACCA